CACUAGGAGCGACGCGACGCAUCCGGAAAACAAUUUGGCAAUAAAUGCCCAAUAAUAAAUCUGCUCGUUCCCUAAUUAAAUACCGCGAUGAAGCUGUGUCGGAGCUUGCGGGGAUAUCGACCCGUUAUUGACAUCGACAUGAGAAAUCUUGACCAAGUGUGAGCCGCAUCCUAUAAACACGAUGACAGAUGGGGCUGAGCAGGCCUGCUGACGCCAGACAGUUCCCGAGAAACAAUGGCAUGGAUGUGAACAGGGACAACCUUGACUGUAUCGCUCUAUAAGGAAGAAGCAAAAAGAAAAGCAUUUUACUGGCCUUCACUAUUAGAUAUGUGGACCAUCUAUCUCGGCUCUAAAGUCCCAUGUCAUGGGCGUCCCAGGUGAGCGUCGAUGAAAGCUUUGUGUAUUUUCUUCUACAAACAUAUUGAUACAUCUGAUGCCAAUGAAUGAUUUCCGAAUAAUGGACUUGUAGAGCGAGUGGGUUGGUGCUGAACACCUGAAGAAUUACAACUGUUGAAAGCUUUGUGUUAAAAAGUCAAGAGGCUAGAGAGUAUCGCCUGUGGCCAGUCUGCUUAAAUCAUGGACUGACAGGAAUCUCUGCUGCCCAAGGAAAUAAACCAGAAAUUCCAUCUGUGAUUCAUUUAUUGAAUCAUUUACAGUCAAGAGCUUUCUCUGAUGAAUAGAAAUUAAGUUGUAAAAAGUGCCUGAGUGCUCUUGUGUGUAUGUAUGUGGUGUAUGUAUAAAAUCUCUUUACCAAGACUUGGCAUGCACAAUUUAGAUGGUCAACUGAGUAUUUGCAUCAAAAAACACUUUGAUUCCACGAGCAAUGAAACCUCAGAAGUCAUCUGGUCCCAUCUGCAUCUGGAUAUUCGGUGCACUCAUGGUGGUAAUGACAAAAACAAGCCAAGAGCUCUUCAUGCAGGUCCACCACUCUCUGCUGCCCACUCACGAUCCACUCUCACCCUGCAUCAAAGUGUGAGCUCAUUUCACUGAGCAGACGGAAUCUGCAUCCUGCCGUACAAUGUGCUCAUUGCUGUUCUUUCAGCGGUCAGCUGAGUUGUGAACAAUUAUCCGGUCCUCUAGAGAAUCAUUAAAGGCAUCAGUGUCUUAGAUGAAUAUGAUUAUCCUCCAUCAAACCAUGCCACUCAGUUCUCAUUCAAGUGAAUAUCUAACUGUUAGUUGUUCUCCAGAAGCCUCCAGUAACACAGAGGUUGAUGGAAAAUCCAUGUCUUUGACCUCAAGCCAGAAAAAAAGACUAACAAAUUAUUCUUAAGAUUUGUCUUAAGUACUGUUAAAUAUGUUGUUUCUGCCAGUGUGGUCGCUGUUCUGCUUUUUUUAUCAAUUUAAAAUUUGUUAGGUUUCUGUGACAGGCUGCUGAUGAAAUCGUGGACAGGCCAGAAAAUAAAUUUUACUUAAACAUGACAGAGGACUGAAUCACUGACAUAAAUCAAGUGUCUAUGGCUCACCAUCGCUUACACGGCGUGAUGUGGAACAGUCUGUGUUGAUGAUCACGAGGUUGCUGCUGAGUAACUUGUAUUUUACAGUGAGUGUGCGCAGUUUUUACUGGAACUUGUUUGACUCAUUUAAUUGUGUACUGUGUUUUUAUAUAGACGCGCGACUGACAGAUUUCAGUAAGGUCAGACUGGUAGCAGUGCUGUUUUCAGUGGUGCUAAUGUGCUCAGUUCAGCAUCAAGCGAAGUCAGGGAUUCCUUCAACACAGCUUUAAUCUGGACUUUCAUUGGAGCGCUAACCAUCAAGGAGGCUCAAAGCAUGAACAAGGCGUCUAAAUUUAAGUCUGGUGAUUUUCUACUUGGAGAAGAGAUCAUUGUGGUUGUUUCCCGAUGAACAAGAUCUUGGAUGCAAACAGAGUUUUUGCAGUUGGCUGUGCCUUUAGACAAGGACCUCAGUCUUCUGAGGAGACGUCCUAGACUGGUAGAAGGCCCCAGGACAUGCAGCGCAGCAGAGAUGUGUGAACUCCUUGGAGCCAGAGGAGGCGUGUUUGAAGAGUGAGGUCUGGACCUUGUGACUUAAAGAUGAACGGAUGUUUGAGGAUGUUGAAAUAAACCAUCCUCUCUUUUAAACAACUAUUUCAGUUUUCAUGUGGAGUAGUGUCAUCACACUAAUCUGUUCUCCCUAAAUUCACAUUUUAACGAUUUUUUUAACCACUAAAUACAUGUCUUGUCCUGUUUAUCAACAACUGGCAUACGUCUUUGAAAGUCAACCCAGAAGGUUAAAGGGGGAAACGAUAUGAGGAUGAUGAGACUGACUGCAAAGAUCCCUCAGCUCUUGUGUGGCUUCAGAAUGUCGUCACAUGAAGAGCUCCUGCGGGGAUAUACGACGCGCUGGUGGAAGUUGUGUGCAACGAGCCUAACCACUAGGGGCAGCAUGUGACUACGCGUGUUCGCCAGAACAUCAGCUGCAACACUUAUCAAUAACCAGGUGGUGGCACUAGAAGACAAGUGAAGCAAAACCCAAACGCGGACUGAUUCACGUAUUCACGUUUGAGCGAUAAUGUUCGAUUAUAGUCAAUGUUUUUUAUUCUAAACUCAUGUAGCAAUAUUGCGUGGAGUGCCUAUUUUUUUUUUUUUAUUUGUUCACAAAAAAGAAGGUCCAUUCAAAUGAAAUUAAAGCUAUAAAAUCGC